rnacentral:misc_RNA from 1 species
GUGAAUCAUCGAAUUUUUGAACGCAAAUUGCACUCUCUACGGAGAGUAUGCCUGUUUGAGGGUCAGCCUAAAAAAAAAUCGACAUAGUCGCUGUGUGGCGGGGAAAUUCGUCGGAAAGUGGGUCAUCUUAAACCGUGGGGUUUUAAGCGGCUGAACAUUUUCUAUACGAUUCUACGAACGCUUCUAAGAUUUACUUCGUACACGGUUAAGGUAAUCGAUCUUUAUUAGACGUGUUCGUUGCACG